rnacentral:rRNA from 1 species
UGGCGGCGUUGCCUUUAUCAUGCAAUUCGAGCGGACAGAUGGGAGCUUGCUCCCUGAUGUUAGCGGCGGACGGGUGAGUAACACGUGGGUAACCUGCCUGUAAGACUGGGAUAACUCCGGGAAACCGGGGCUAAUACCGGAUGGUUGUCUGAACCGCAUGGUUCAGACAUAAAAGGUGGCUUCGGCUACCACUUACAGAUGGACCCGCGGCGCAUUAGCUAGUUGGUGAGGUAACGGCUCACCAAGGCGACGAUGCGUAGCCGACCUGAGAGGGUGAUCGGCCACACUGGGACUGAGACACGGCCCAGACUCCUACGGGAGGCAGCAGUAGGGAAUCUUCCGCAAUGGACGAAAGUCUGACGGAGCAACGCCGCGUGAGUGAUGAAGGUUUUCGGAUCGUAAAGCUCUGUUGUUAGGGAAGAACAAGUGCCGUUCAAAUAGGGCGGCACCUUGACGGUACCUAACCAGAAAGCCACGGCUAACUACGUGCCAGCAGCCGCGGUAAUACGUAGGUGGCAAGCGUUGUCCGGAAUUAUUGGGCGUAAAGGGCUCGCAGGCGGUUUCUUAAGUCUGAUGUGAAAGCCCCCGGCUCAACCGGGGAGGGUCAUUGGAAACUGGGGAACUUGAGUGCAGAAGAGGAGAGUGGAAUUCCACGUGUAGCGGUGAAAUGCGUAAAGAUGUGGAGGAACACCAGUGGCGAAGGCGACUCUCUGGUCUGUAACUGACCCUGAGGAGCGAAAGCGUGGGGAGCGAACAGGAUUAAAUACCCUGGUAGUCCACCCCGUAACAAUGAAUGCUAAUUGUUAGGGGGUUCCCCCCCUUAU